GAUGAUGGCUUCAAGCUUCAUCCAUGUCCCUGCAAAGGACCUGAACUCAUUCUUUUUUAUGGCUGCAUAGUAUUCCAUGGUGUAUAUGUGCCAUCUUUUCUUUAUCUAAUGACUGGUGUUCUUAUAAGAAGGAAACACGAGGCAGGCAAAUGCAUAGAGGAAAGAGCAUGUGAGGACACAGUGGGAAGGUGCCAUCUGCCAGCCAGGGAGCAAGACCUCAGAAGGAAUGGGAGCACCUUGAUCUUGGACUUCUAGCCUCCAAAACUGAUGAAAGAGGCUGACAUCUGACUGAGAAGAUGGUCCUAGGGGAAAGAGAAAUGAAGAAUCAGAAGAAAAUUGGUAUUUGCUGAAGCCAGUUGCUUAAGGAGGAAGAGGAGGGAUGAAAGAGCAGACAGAGAGGGAGGUUGACAUUAUAAUGAGAAACAGCUCCAUAUGUUCCAGUCGCCAGUGGAUGCCUGAAACCUAUAUAUAUAAUAUUGAGCCCUGUAUAUACUAUGUUUUUCCUGUACAUGCAUACUAUGAUGAAGUUUAAUUUAUAAAUUAGGCACAGUAAGAGACUAACAAUGAUAAUUAAUAA
rnacentral:lncRNA from 10 species